rnacentral:rRNA from 1 species
UUGGAAAUAGCAAUAUUACCAUGAGAGUGGCGCACGGGUGCGUAACACGUAUGCAAUCUGCCCCUAACUGGAAGAUAGCCCGGCGAAAGUCGGAUUAAUAUUCCAUAACAUUGCGAAACGGCAUCGUUUUGUAAUUAAAGCUCCGGCGGUUAGGGAUGAGCAUGCGCGACAUUAGCUAGAUGGCGAGGUAACGGCUCACCAUGGCUACGAUGUCUAGGGGGUCUGAGAGGAUUAUCCCCCACACUGGUACUGAGACACGGACCAGACUCCUACGGGAGGCAGCAGUAGGGAAUAUUGGGCAAUGGACGCAAGUCUGACCCAGCCAUGCCGCGUGCAGGAUGACGGCCCUAUGGGUUGUAAACUGCUUUUGUACAGGAAGAAACCCCUUUACGUGUAGAGGGCUGACAUUACUGUAAGAAUAAGGAUCGGCUAACUCCGUGCCAGCAGCCGCGGUAAUACGGAGGAUCCAAGCGUUGUCCGGAUUUAUUGGGUUUAAAGGGUGCGUAGGCGGACCAUUAAGUCAGAGGUGAAAGUUUGCAGCUUAACUGUAAAAUUGCCUUUGAAACUGGUGGUCUUGAGUACAGUUGAGGUGGGCGGAAUGUGUCAUGUAGCGGUGAAAUGCUUAGAUAUGAUACAGAACACCGAUUGCGAAGGCAGCUCACUAAACUGUAACUGACGCUGAGGCACGAAAGCGUGGGGAGCGAACAGGAUUAGAUACCCUGGUAGUCCACGCCCUAAACGUUGAAUACUCGUUGUUGGCGAUAUACAGUCAGCGACUAAGCGAAAGCAUUAAGUAUUCCACCUGGGGGAGUACGACCGCAAGGUUGAAACUCAAAGGAAUUGACGGGGGGCCCGCACAAGCGGAGGAGUAUGUGGUUUAAUUCGAUGAUACGCGAGGAACCUUACCUGGGCUUGAAAGUUAGCGACCGCUGCCGAAAGGUG